rnacentral:rRNA from 1 species
CGGCAGGCCUAACACAUGCAAGUCGAACGAACUCUUCGGAGUUAGUGGCGGACGGGUGAGUAACACGUGGGAACGUGCCUUUAGGUUCGGAAUAACUCAGGGAAACUUGUGCUAAUACCGAAUGUGCCCUUCGGGGGAAAGAUUUAUCGCCUUUAGAGCGGCCCGCGUCUGAUUAGCUAGUUGGUGAGGUAAAGGCUCACCAAGGCGACGAUCAGUAGCUGGUCUGAGAGGAUGAUCAGCCACAUUGGGACUGAGACACGGCCCAAACUCCUACGGGAGGCAGCAGUGGGGAAUCUUGCGCAAUGGGCGAAAGCCUGACGCAGCCAUGCCGCGUGAAUGAUGAAGGUCUUAGGAUUGUAAAAUUCUUUCACCGGGGACGAUAAUGACGGUACCCGGAGAAGAAGCCCCGGCUAACUUCGUGCCAGCAGCCGCGGUAAUACGAAGGGGGCUAGCGUUGCUCGGAAUUACUGGGCGUAAAGGGAGCGUAGGCGGACAUUUAAGUCAGGGGUGAAAUCCCGGGGCUCAACCUCGGAAUUGCCUUUGAUACUGGGUGUCUUGAGUAUGAGAGAGGUGUGUGGAACUCCGAGUGUAGAGGUGAAAUUCGUAGAUAUUCGGAAGAACACCAGUGGCGAAGGCGACACACUGGCUCAUUACUGACGCUGAGGCUCGAAAGCGUGGGGAGCAAACAGGAUUAGAUACCCUGGUAGUCCACGCCGUAAACGAUGAUUGCUAGUUGUCGGGAUGCAUGCAUUUCGGUGACGCAGCUAACGCAUUAAGCAAUCCGCCUGGGGAG